rnacentral:lncRNA from 1 species
AGAGAGAGAGAGAGAGUAGGUCAUGUGUGUUAUUAGCAGUAUGGAGGUCUCCGUAUUCUUUAGUCUUUUUUGAUGAUAGAGCUUCGGAAAUCGACGAUCGACUCCGUUAGAUUUGAUUUACCGUAUUUGAAGUAUCUAGUCUAGAAAAUAAAUUUUACUGUUUUUCGAUACCAUUUACCUAGCCAUCAAAAGAAUUCAAAAUCAAUGACUAAAAAUAAAAAUUUUACAAAAGAUUGUGAUAUAGUACUAAAAUUUUCAAUACCGUUAAAAAAUUUUUGAUUAAAAUUUCAUCUGAUUUGAAUAUUUAUAUACCGUUAAACUUACAAACGAUAUACAUCAACCAUUAAAAAUUAUUGGUUUUGAAUCCUUUCAAUCGCUAGGUAAAUAAUAUCGAAAGAUAUGAAUAAUAGGGAUGUGAAUAAUAGAUCGAUUUGUACGGUGAGAAAGAUAUGAAUGAUCGAUAUUUUAUAUUUUGAAGAGGCAUUUGCAAUAUUUUAAAAUUUUAAAGGACUAUAUUUGAAAUUAUCUUUUUUUUCUAUACUAAAAACAAAAAAAAAAUCUUUAUACAAUUUGUCAUGCCCCGGAUAUCACGUUUCCCGGGCACGCCGACAAAUCCGCCGUAUACAAAGGAAUUAUCCCUGUAUACGAAGCGAUAGCUGUACCUGUGAAAAUAUAAUACUACAACCAGUAGUUUAGAGCUGUAAGGAACAAAACAUAACCUGGUAGCAAAUAAAAGUUCACUAUACAUACAACAUCUGUAUACAAAAGCUUGCCUCGCAAGAAACACUAAUGACAGUAUGUAUAAGAACUCACAAAGUACAACUACCUGUAGCUGGUACUCCACUAGCUUUGGCUCGUCUAGUAGGGC